GGGUCGAUGGCGUAGUUGGUUAUCGCAUCUGUCUAACACCUCGCAGCGACUUGUGAGCGGUUCCGCCCACAUUUCGCUGCUAGUCACACAGAAGGUCGCCAGUUCGAACCUGGCUCGACUCA